rnacentral:tRNA from 1 species
GGCUCUGUGGCGCAAUGGAUAGCGCGUUGGACUUCUAGGUAGCACUUGGUGGUGUGAUUCAAAGGUUGUGGGUUCGAGUCCCACCAGAGUCG